rnacentral:rRNA from 1 species
GAUGAACGCUGGCGGCGUGCCUAAUACAUGCAAGUCGAGCGAACGGACGAGAAGCUUGCUUCUCUGAUGUUAGCGGCGGACGGGUGAGUAACACGUGGAUAACCUACCUAUAAGACUGGGAUAACUUCGGGAAACCGGAGCUAAUACCGGAUAAUAUUUUGAACCGCAUGGUUCAAAAGUGAAAGACGGUCUUGCUGUCACUUAUAGAUGGAUCCGCGCUGCAUUAGCUAGUUGGUAAGGUAACGGCUUACCAAGGCAACGAUGCAUAGCCGACCUGAGAGGGGGGUGCGCCACCAGGGGACUGAGACCAGGCCCAGGCCCCAGCGGGGGGCAGGAGGGGGGAAUUCUCCGCAAAGGGGGGAAGGCCUGCGGGACAACCGCGGGGGGGGUAAUGAGGUUUUUCGGAUCUAAAAACUUUUUUAUAGGGAAAGAACAUAUGUGAAAGAAACUGGGCACAUCGGGGGGGAACCUAACAAAAAGCCCAGGGCAAAGUCGGUC